UCCGGAGUGGUGUAGCGGUAGCACGUCGGGUUUUGGUCCCGAAAGCAGGGGUCCGAAUCCUCUCUCCGGAA
rnacentral:tRNA from 1 species